rnacentral:rRNA from 1 species
UACAGAGGUCCCAAGCGUUGUUCGGAUUCACUGGGCGUAAAGGGUGCGUAGGCGGUCGGGUAAGUCUGAUGUGAAAUCUCACAGCUUAACUGUGAAACUGCAUUGGAUACUAUUCGGCUUGAGAGUUGGAGGGGGGACUGGAAUACUUGGUGUAGCAGAGAAAUGCGUAGAUAUCAAGUGGAACACCAGUGGCGAAGGCGAGUCUCUGGACAUUUCCUGACGCUGAGGCACGAAAGCCAGGGGAGCAAACGGG